rnacentral:rRNA from 1 species
AUUGAACGCUGGCGGCCGGCUUAACACAUGCAAGUCGAGCGAGCGGCGGACGGGUGAGUAAUGUCUGGGAAACUGCCUGAUGGAGGGGGAUAACUACUGGAAAAGGUAGCUAAUACCGCAUAACAUCCGAUGUGCCCAGAUGGGAUUAACUAGUAGGUGGGUGAAUGGCACACCUGGGCCACGAUACCUAGCUGGUCGGAGAGGAUGACCAGCCACACUGGAACUUAGACCAGUGCCAGACUAUGAUGCGAGGCAGCAGUGGGGAAAAUUGCACAAUGGGAGCAAGCCUGAUGCAGCCAUGCCGCGUGUGGGAAGAAGGCCUUCGGGUUGUAAAGCACUUUCAGCGAGGAAGCGUUACUCGCAGAAGAAGCACCGGCUAACUCCGGGCCAGCAGCCGCGGUAAUAC